GUAGUACUCCUUCCGUCCCAAAAUUCUUGUCUUAAAUUUGUCUAAAUACGGAUGUAUCAAGUCACGUUUUAGUAUUAGAUACAUCCGUAUCUAGACGAAACUAAGACAAGAAUUUUGGGACGGAGGGAGUACAAA
rfam:Triticum aestivum genome assembly, contig: Triticum_aestivum_CS42_TGACv1_scaffold_222289_3B